rnacentral:lncRNA from 1 species
UUUCCUAAAAAACCUAACCCCCAAGGUUAUGCCAGAUCCGCCACAAAUACAGAGAUUCUACUGUUCACACGGACAGAGUCUCCUCUAUAUUUGCACGGCGUCGCACAAGUACAAGAUACAAGAUUCACAAUACCAAAUACAACCACACAUAUGAACAUCCACAUACUCAUACACCAUUCACAUUCACAUUUAUUUCAAUUAACAAGUAUCCAUAAAACCACAUCUAUCAGUUUAAAAUGUUUCUUACUCGAAAACUCAUUUUAAAACACUAAGUCAUAAAAACCAAGAAAACUUUUUAAAACCUGUUUCCCACACGGAAACCUUUUCCUUUUUAAAACUCGCUACCACGAGGGAUAGAAAACCAAUUCCAGUUUGCAAGAACCGCACAUCCUUUAUUACAUUCAUAAAAUUCCAAUUC